AGCUGCUCUGAAAGUAGUGAGUUACCUCACUAGACUGUUCACAGUCACAGGUUGAACUCCUGGGUGUACUCCUCCCUCUUCUUACUACUGCAAUUGGCUAAUCUUAA
rnacentral:Y_RNA from 1 species